UACGGGGGGGGCAAGCGUUGUUCGGAAUUACUGGGCGUAAAGGGUGCGUAGGCGGUGCUCUAAGUCGGAUGUGAAAACUCUGGGCUCAACCCAGAGCCUGCAUCCGAAACUGGAGUGCUAGAGUUCUGGAGGGGGUAGCGGAAUUCCUGGUGUAGCGGUGAAAUGCGUAGAUAUCAGGAGGAACACCGGUGGCGAAGGCGGCUACCUGGACAGAAACUGACGCUGAGGCACGACAGCGUGGGGAGCAAACAGG
rnacentral:rRNA from 1 species